AUCCUAACCCUCUCCUAACUCUCCAUGAUCCUAACUCUCCAUGAUCCUAACCCUCUAACAACUCUCCAUGAUCCUAACCCUCUCCCAACUCUCCAUGAUCCUAACCCUCUCCCAACUCUCCAUGAUCCUAACCCUCUCCCAACUCUCCAUGAUCCUAACCCUCUCCUAACUCUCCAUGGUCCUAACACUUUCCAUGAUCC
rnacentral:lncRNA from 13 species